rnacentral:rRNA from 1 species
AUACGGAGGGUCCGAGCGUUAUCCGGAAUCAUUGGGUUUAAAGGGUCCGUAGGCGGGAAUCUAAGUCAGUGGUGAAAUCUUGCAGCUCAACUGUAAAAUUGCCAUUGAUACUGGAUUUCUUGAAUUAGCGUGAAGUGGUUAGAAUGUGUAGUGUAGCGGUGAAAUGCAUAGAUAUUACACAGAAUACCAAUUGCGAAGGCAGAUCACUAACACUAUAUUGACGCUGAGGGACGAAAGCGUGGGGAGCGAACAGGAUUAGAAACCCUAGUAGUCC